rnacentral:rRNA from 1 species
UUAGGUCGACCGCUGAACUUAAGCAUAUCAGUAAGCGGAGGAAAAGAAAAUAACAAUGAUUUCCUUAGUAGCGGCGAGCGAACAGGAAUUAGCCCAAUACCGAAUCCUUCACCUUUGGUGUUUGGAAAUGUGGUGUAUGGUUUUAUUCAUACGGCUUGUUGUUUAUCGUUCCAAGUCCACGUGAUUGUGGCAUCAAGCCCAUAGAGGGUGUGAGGCCCGUAAGAGCGAUACAACUUGUCAUGAGUAUAACUAUGAGUAGGGUUGCUCGGGAUUGCAGCCCAAAUUGGGUGAUAAACUCCAUCCAAGGCUAAAUACAACACGAGUCCGAUAGCGAACAAGUACCAUGAGGGAAAGUUGAAAAGAACUUUGAAGAGAGAGUUCAACAGUGCGUGAAACCGCUCAAAGGGAACCGGGUAGAGCUGAAGGAGACAUGGCAUAUUUGUAUUUUGUGCUGGCUAUUUGUGGAUUUUCGAGACUUAUUGCUCGUUACUUUGAGUAUGCUAGCGCGUUAUACUAUUGUGCUGUGGCGACACCACGAUCAGUAGUUACAUUGUUCUGGCAUAAUUGGGAAGGUAGCUCAACUUGUUGAGUAUUAUAGCCCAAUUAUCUAGCACCAAUCGAGUACUGAUAAUUGGCGUUGUACCAAUGACAAUAUGAGGAACGAAGCUGCUGUAACAACUCAUUAAGAGAUGGUAUAGUUGUCUGAGCUCUUUGUUAUGUCCUCUUGAUAUUGCGUAUCAAUCAGUGGUGGCAUUGUAGGCAUUCUACCCGACCCGUCUUGAAACACGGACCAAGGAGUUUAGCAUGCACGCGAGUCAUGGGGUUGUUCGAAACCUAAAGGCGUAAUGAAAGUAAAGGCUAAUUUAUUGUUAGCUGAGGUAGGAUCUCGGUUUUCAUUGGGCAUUAAUGCACAUGGACUAAGCGCACUACCAGCUCGUCCCAUGUUUUAUUAAGCGGGGCGAAGCAAGAGCGUACAUGCUGAGACCCGAAAGAUGGUGAACUAUGCUUGUGCAGGUUGAAGCCAGAGGAAACUCUGGUGGAGGACCGUAGCGAUUCUGACGUGCAAAUCGAUCGUCAAACAUGAGUAUAGGGGCGAAAGACUAAUCGAACCAUCUAGUAGCUGGUUCCCUCCGAAGUUUCCCUCAGGAUAGCUGGCACUCGUGAAUGAAACAGUUUUAUUCGGUAAAGAGAAUGAUUAGCAGUAUUGGGGAUGAAAUAUCCUCAACUGAUUCUCAAACUUUAAAUGGGUGAGAAGCUCAACUCUCUUAAAUAUGGAGUUGUAGCAUUGAAUGUGAGUGCCAAGUGGGCCAUUUUUGGUAAGCAGAACUGGCGAUGUGGGAUGAACCAAACGUCUGGUUAAGGAGCCAAACAUAACGCUCAUCAGAUACCACAAAAGGUGUUGGUUGAUUUUGACAGCAGGACGGUGGCCAUGGAAGUUGGAAUCCGCUAAGGAGUGUGUAACAACUCACCUGCCGAAUCAACCAGCCCUGAAAAUGGAUGGCGCUGUAGCGUUGGUCCUAUACCAGACCGUUACCGCGAAGCAGUAUGUGGUAACGUGUAGGAGGGCGCAGUGGUGAGCAUAGAAGCCUAGGCCGUGAGGUUGGGUGGAGCCGCCACUGGCGCAGAUCUUGGUGGUAGUAGCAAAUAUACAAGUGAGAACCUUGUAGACUGAAGUGGAGAAGGGUUCCA